UAGCCAGUCACAGCUGUCGGAGCUUGGCGAAGUGCAAACAGGAGAGGAGACCCCUGAUAUGCCCUUGGGAGCCCAGCCUCCCUCUUUGUUAUCACCGGCUGAAUGGCUGCUCAGAAUUAGAAAGCGGCCAUGAAGAACUAAAGAGAACUUUCUGCAUGAGGUCAUGAUGCACUCUGUGGCCAAAAAACAAGAAUUAAAGGAGUGGCCGGACAGCGAGAAGAGGGACAGAAAGGAGAAUGCGGUGCGCCAGAAGGAAGUCAUGGAGCGGCUCUUAAAUGUUAGGGAGCGCCAAGCGGACUCGCUCCUGGUGCUACUAGCACUGCAAACCGAGCAGCUCCGCGCCCGCCCACUCCUGCAGCCACUGUCGCAAAACUCUUUCCAAUGCACCCCCCUGACACCACCAACACACUCUUAGCAACCUCCUGGCUCCAGUCUGUACCCGCUGCAUUCCACUCCUGCCCCAUCACAGUCCAGCUCUGCGGAUGCCCAGUACCCAGUGCACUCAACACCUCUCCCUCUGUAGUUUAGCCCUGCUGAAGUACCGUACCCACUGCUCUGUACUCCAAAGGAUAAGGUUGCAUAUGAUACCUGGACAUACACAAAUCUUUAAGCGUCCCUGGACCC